rnacentral:rRNA from 1 species
GACGAACGCUGGCGGCGUGCUUAACACAUGCAAGUCGAACGGAAAGGCCCUGCUUUUGUGGGGUGCUCGAGUGGCGAACGGGUGAGUAACACGUGAGUAACCUGCCCUUGACUUUGGGAUAACUUCAGGAAACUGGGGCUAAUAUCGGAUAGGAGCUCCUGCUGCAUGGUGGGGGUUGGAAAGUUUCGGCGGUUGGGGAUGGACUCGCGGCUUAUCAGCUUGUUGGUGGGGUAGUGGCUUACCAAGGCUUUGACGGGUAGCCGGCCUGAGAGGGUGACCGGGCACAUUGGGACUGGGAUACGGCCCAGACUCCUACGGGAGGCAGCAGUGGGGAAUAUUGCACAAUGGGCGGAAGCCUGAUGCAGCAACGCCGCGUGCGGGAUGACGGCCUUCGGGUUGUAAACCGCUUUCGCCUGUGACGAAGCGUGAGUGACGGUAAUGGGUAAAGAAGCACCGGCUAACUACGUG